CCUACGGGGCGCAGCAGUGAGGAAUAUUGGUCAAUGGGCGAGAGCCUGAACCAGCCAAGUCGCGUGAAGGAUGAAGGAUCUAUGGUUUGUAAACUUCUUUUAUAUGGGAAUAAAGUGCGGAACGUGUUCCUUUUUGUAUGUACCAUAUGACUAAGCAUCGGCUAACUCCGUCCCAGCAGCCGCGGUAAUACGGGGGAUGCGAGCGUUAUCCGGAUUUAUUGGGUUUAAAGGGUGCGUAGGUGGUUAAUUAAGUCAGCGGUAAAAGUUUGUGGCUCAACCAUAAAAUUGCCGUUGAAACUGGGUGACGUGAGUAUAGUUGAGGUAGGUGGAAUGCGUGGUGUAGCGGUGAAAUGCAUAGAUAUCACGCAGAACUCCGAUUGCGAAGGCAGCUACUAAACUAUAACUGACACUGAAGCACGAAAGCGUGGGGAUCAAACAGGAUUAGAUACCCCAGUAGUC
rnacentral:rRNA from 1 species